AGGUACUUCUUACUGUUUUUGUCUGUUGGAAUUUUAGACAACUAAUACAAAGGCCAACUUUGCAGUCUUGUGCCCAGAUUGUCUCUGGAUCUCCACAGUAACCCUGAUGUCUUCUCUGAUCCCUGGCCAACAUGAUAUGAAUGUGUUUACAGACCCACACCUGUCAGACCGAGCACUAAAUCACCCAGAUCUGGGUUGAGUAAAUCCAGAAUGCCACACUGUGGGUCAGGGAGGUUCACGCUUUCCCCGCAGGCGAGUGAGGAAUUAGAAGAAUAACCCUGAAGAGAGGCGCUGCUGCAGCAUUCCACACUUCUACUGAAGACGUGCAUGCCUGUCUUUAGAAGAAGAAGGUGGACUUGUCUCAGCCUUUAACUUGGAACUGACAUUGACCUUGGUCUAGAAUAUCAUGAGUGUCUUUUUAAGGCAUUUACACUAUGAAGCAGUUUGCUUUCAAGCACAUGUUUGGGCCCAAGAUGCCCUUUAUGAACUUUAGUUUUAUAAUUACUUUGACCUUUCGUGCCAUGCACAGACAUUUUUAGACUCGCUGUUGCACAACAAAAAAAUCUCACGAGACACAAACAUGCAGUAAUAAAAAGCAGUCAAAGGCAAUAAACAUGUUUUACAUCUAUCAUCUGUUUAUUAUUCUGAAGUAUGUACCAUACUUAUACAUAAAAAUAGCAUUCUGUAUUGUUUAACUAAGUACACGUUUACAGUCAAGCAUCACUAAUUGUACAAAAAUAACAACACAAAGACACAAACAAUGAAGAACAGAACAUCCUCACGUCAGUGUGCAAACCGUUUAUACAGACGGAAAUGCCUCUUUCUCGGGUGGCACUCCAUGAUAAAUUAUUUAAAUAGCAUUUAUCUACACACACAUAUGAAACAGUCUUACAAACAGCGACAACAAAUAAAGCAAUAAUUUAUCAACUUAAAAAAAAAGUACUGGACAUCUGAAGCACUGGCAAAUGUGUUCCUCUAUUUUCCAUUGGGAUGUGGGGCUGGCUGUUUGUUCUAUAUACUAUUUACAACUUGUGCUACAGUAGCAAUAAGGCAACCAAUCUGUUUUCUUGAAGCAAAGGAAAAAGUACUUUUAAGCUUUUGCUUGAUCAAAUUACAAAACAGCAAUGAGGUAAUAUUUGUACAUUAAAGUUUUCCUUUAUCUCUCUCUCUACAGAAAAGGCAAACAGUAGUUUUAGACAGAACCUUGGUUAUGAGAGUGUAUUUUUCUUUUAAAUGUUGAAAUAGUUGUUUUUAGUGAGGGCAAUCUUUAGAAAUACCCUCGCUUGUGCUUCUUGAAGCAAAAUCACAGCACUUAAAGCGUUUUAUAAGUGCUACAUAAAUAUAUAUA